UGCAAGUCGUACGAGGGUUUUUAACUCUAGUGGCGGACGGGUGAGUAACACGUGAGAAUUUGCCUUUAGGAGGGGGAUAACAAUCGGAAACGAAUGCUAAUACCCCAUAUGCUUUUGAGUGAAAUGGAUUUAUCUGCCUAAAGAGAAGCUCGCGGCUGAUUAGCUUGUUGGUAAGGUAAGAGCUUACCAAGGCGACGAUCAGUAUCUGGUUUGAGAGGACGAUCAGACACACUGGAACUGAGACACGGUCCAGACUCCUACGGGAGGCAGCAGUGGGGAAUUUUCCGCAAUGGGCGAAAGCCUGACGGAGCAAUACCGCGUGAGGGAAGAAUGCCUAUGGGUUGUAAACCUCUUUUUUCAGGGAGGAAUAAAAUGACGUGUACCUGAAGAAUAAGCAUCGGCUAACUCCGUGCCGGGAGCCGCGGUAAGACGGAGGAUGCAAGUGUUAUCCGGAAUCACUGGGCGUAAAGCGUCUGUAGGUGGUUUAAUAAGUCAACUGUUAAAUCUUGAGGCUCAACUUCAAAAUCGCAGUCGAAACUAUUAGACUAGAGUAUAGUAGGGGUAAAGGGAAUUUCCAGUGGAGCGGUGAAAUGCGUAGAUAUUGGAAAGAACACCAAUGGCGAAAGCACUUUACUGGGCUAUUACUAACACUCAGAGACGAAAGCUAGGGUAGCAAAUGGGAUUAGAUACCCCAGUAGUC
rnacentral:rRNA from 1 species